GGCUCAGUGGUAGAGCAUCCGCUUGGGAUGCGGAAGGCCCCAGGUUCAAUUCCUGGCAUCUCCA
rnacentral:tRNA from 1 species